rnacentral:rRNA from 1 species
UACGUAGGGUCCGAGCGUUGUCCGGAAUUAUUGGGCGUAAAGAGCUCGUAGCGGUUUGUCGCGUCUGCUGUGAAAUCCGAGCUCAACCUCGGGUCUGCAGGUGGGUACGGGCAGACUAGAGGUGUGGUAGGGGAGACGUGGAAUUCCGUGGUGAUAGCGGUGAAAUGCGGACAGACUAUCGAGGAGGAACACCGAGUGGCGAAGGCAGGUCUCU